rnacentral:rRNA from 1 species
CAUGCAUGUCUCAGUGCAGCCGUACGCGCUCGCGCGUCUAGGUGAAACCGCGAAAGGCUCAUUAAAUCAGUUAUGGUUCCUUGGAUCGUACCACUCAGUUACUUGGAUAACUGUGGUAAUUCUAGAGCUAAUACAUGCCGACAGAGUUCCGACCGCCUCGUGCGGGAGGAACGCUUUUAUUAGAUCAAAACCCAUCGGCGUGACUUCGGUCACGCCGACAACACUCGGUCCCCUUCGCGGGGGCCGACCAAGUGGUGACUCUGAAUAACUUUGUGCUGAUCGCACGGUCUCAGUACUGGCGAUGCAUCUUUCAAAUGUCUGCCUUAUCAACUGUCGAUGGUAGGUUAUGCGCCUACCAUGGUGGUAACGGGUGACGGGGGAUUAGGGUUCGAUCCCGGAGAGGGAGCCUGAGAAACGGCUACCACAUCCAAGGAAGGCAGCAGGCACGCAAAUUACCCACUCCCAGCUCAGGGGAGGUAGUGACGAAAUAUAACGAUACGGGACUCAUCCGAGGCCUCGUAAUCGGAAUGAGUACACUGUAAAACGUUUAACGAGGAUCCAUUGGAGGGCA